ensembl:lncRNA
ACCCCGAGCGCCCUUGGUGUCGUGGGCCGGUCCCCGCCCUGGCGGCGCGGCGCGGUCGGGCGGCGGACUGAGGACAGUCCGGCCCGGUCGACAGCCGCGUCGGGGGCGGAGGGGCCCCGUCCCGCGCGCCCCCGCCCGCCCCCCCCCCCCGGAGAGGGGGGGUUGAGGACGGGGGGCCGGGAAAGGCGCGGAGGUAGCUCGCCCGCGGCCCCGGGGUAAGCGGCGAAUCGGGGCGGGGGGGCGCUGUAAAGCUCGGGGCCGGAGCCACGAGCCACCUUCG